GACGAACGCUGGCGGCGUGCUUAACACAUGCAAGUCGAACGGUGAUGCUCCAGCUUGCUGGAGUGGAUCAGUGGCGAACGGGUGAGUAACACGUGAGCAACCUGCCCCAGACUCUGGAAUAAGCGCUGGAAACGGCGUCUAAUACUGGAUACGAAACUGGCCCGCAUGGGCAUGGUUUGGAAAGUUUUGCGGUUUGGGAUGGGCUCGCGGCCUAUCAGCUUGUUGGUGAGGUAAUGGCUCACCAAGGCGACGACGGGUAGCCGGCCUGAGAGGGCGACCGGCCACACUGGGACUGAGACACGGCCCAGACUCCUACGGGAGGCAGCAGUGGGGAAUAUUGCACAAUGGGCGGAAGCCUGAUGCAGCGACGCCGCGUGAGGGAUGACGGCCUUCGGGUUGUAAACCUCUUUCAGCAGGGAAGAAGCGAAAGUGACGGUACCUGCAGAAGAAGCACCGGCUAACUACGUG
rnacentral:rRNA from 1 species